UACGAAGGGGGCUAGCGUUGCUCGGAAUUACUGGGCGUAAAGGGCGCGUAGGCGGACAUUUAAGUCAGAGGUGAAAGCCCAGGGCUCAACCUUGGAAUUGCCUUUGAUACUGGAUGUCUUGAGUUCGGGAGAGGUGAGUGGAAUGCCGAGUGUAGAGGUGAAAUUCGUAGAUAUUCGGCGGAACACCAGUGGCGAAGGCGGCUCACUGGGUCAUUACUGACGCUGAGGCACGAAAGCGUGGGGAGCAAACAGG
rnacentral:rRNA from 1 species